rnacentral:lncRNA from 1 species
GCAGGCCACACCUGGUCUUUCUCUUAUACAUAACAUAACAUAACAUACAUAUUCCAUAGUGCCGGGGGCGUAGUGCAGGCCACAUCCGGUCUUUCUCUUACAUAGUGCCAGGGGCGUAGUGCAGGCCACAUCUGGACUUCCAUAUCAUAUCAUCAUGUCAUAACAUAUGAGGGCUAACGGAUCAUUCAACAUUCAUCCACAUCAACAACAUAUUAUGCAAUGCAACAUAUUCGUGAUUUCUAAUGCAUACAACCUAAAAUAUCACAUGGCAUCCGUGAUGCAUGAACAUGCUCAAAACUGAUUUAUU